GGUUGUUGCGAUGAGGAUACAAAGCUCCCUCUUCUGAAAGCAUUGAGGACAUAGCUGGCGGAAUCGAACCAAUUACCAUGCCACCACUGAGUAA
rfam:Brachypodium distachyon strain Bd21 chromosome 3, whole genome shotgun sequence.